rnacentral:rRNA from 1 species
AGUAAAAGUCGUAACAAGGUUUCCGUAGGUGAACCUGCGGAAGGAUCAUUAUUGAAUAAAUCUGACGUUGGUUGUAGCUGGCUCUACCUGAGCAUGUGCACGCCCGUCACCUUUAUCUUUCCACCUGUGCACACACUGUAGAUCUGGAUACCUCUCGUCGAAAGGCGGAUGCGAGGCUUGCUGUGCCCCCUUCCCAAAGGGGUCGGCUUGCUUCGAAUUUCCGGGUCUAUGAACCCCUUUACAUACCCCAAACGAAUGUUAAGGAAUGUAAUCAUAAGGCCCUGGUGCCUAUAAACCUAUACAACUUUCAGCAACGGAUCUCUUGGCUCUCGCAUCGAUGAAGAACGCAGCGAAAUGCGAUAAGUAAUGUGAAUUGCAGAAUUCAGUGAAUCAUCGAAUCUUUGAACGCACCUUGCGCUCCUUGGUAUUCCGAGGAGCAUGCCUGUUUGAGUGUCAUUAAAUUCUCAACCUCACCAACUUUUGUUGUGUGAAGGCUUGGAUUUGGAGGCGUGUGCAGGUCCACACUUUUAGUGGUCUGCUCCUCUGAAAUGUAUUAGUGGGUUAGGCCCCCUAAUCUAUUGGUGUGAUAAUUAUCUACGCCGUGGAUCUGGGAAGCUACAUUAGACCUGCUUCUAACCGGUCCUCAUGGGACAACAUUUGACAAUUUUGACCUCAAAUCAGGUAAGACUACCCGCUGAACUUAAGCAUAUCAAUAAGCGGAGGA